rnacentral:lncRNA from 1 species
GCAUGUGUCCUGUCCAUCAGACUCUGAGUUCCUUGAAGGAGGGGGUUGUGUCUCACCAGACCUUAUAUCCCAGGGACCUAGCAAGAUCCCUGGUAUAGAGUGGCAUGCUGACAAAUUCUCCUCGAAUGAACAGAUCCAUGAGAGAGAAAUGGGUUGUGCCUGAUUUAAGGCCUUAGGUCCUUAAUACCCCCUUAUAUUCCUUGUUUAAAGGAGCUCCAUGACAAAGUCAUUCCAUGGAUGUUUCCAGAAUGGGUAUGUGACCACCUCUGGUGCAUACCUCAUUUAAUAUCUGGAAGCAAUCGCUACUGAUGCUUUGAAUAUAGCUACAAAAAGCCAAGUUCAGUGUAAGAGGAUUGCUUCUUAAGCACAGAACCUCUGUCCCUGGUUUCUCUCGGCUUCCUUGUUGUCAGUGGCCGGGUCAGACCUCUCCAUACAGAACCACUCACAGUCUUCAUUUUCCCUAUUAUUAUUUUUCUCUGGCUUCGAAGAAGUACAGCAGUGCUGUUUGGGUGAUUGUUGCUCUGUGAUGCCAAGCUGUUUUAGAAAAAUGUCAUGAUGCCUGGUCACACCUACUACCGCAGAGACAAGCCCAGAAGUUAAAUUAGGAAGCAAACGUAAGCUUUGAAGAACUUUUUAUUUAAUCUGUAUUCCCCUGUUUCAUCUGCACAUCCAUCCAGCACAAUCUGCAUCAUUAUUAGCCACAUCAACUCGCUAAAAAAAGGGGGGGGGUAAAAAGUAAGACAUCUGUGUUAUAGCAUUAAUAUAUUCAAAGGUUUUUACUUUCAUCUUGCAGGCAUUAACAGGGUGUAAAUGCAAUAUAAGCGCAAUUUACAACAGCACUAAGUUAGCAGAAGAAAAAACGUACUUGGGAGUCACGCAAAAGAAGGGAGCCUGCAAAAAGAAAAAAAAAAAAAAGCAAAGUUGAUAAUUCCACUGCCGUCCUUUGCGGGGGUGAUCCUGAGGAUCAAAGGCGAUGCUGUUUGUGAAAGAGCCGGAGACUGCGAGGUUGUUCUGGGUACCGAAGUCGGGGACUGCCAGCCAGCCCGCUGCCUUCAUGAGUAG